AGGUUGAAGGCCACCUGUUUCGCCAGAUGCUGUUUGUAUUCACAGCACUGAUGGUGGGUCUCCCUGCGGGGAGGAGCCCGUAUCAGGCCGACGCCGUCAGUUUCCACGGACAUGGACCAGAACGGCCUGCUUGGGAUCUACUGGAGCACCAGCCCUGAACCCAUGAAAUGCACUUCACCAUGACAGCGAAGUUGAGAAUAGCUAGAAGAAACACCAUUUAAAUCUGCCUUGAACUACUGAACAUUUUUAAAUACUCUAGCAUUGGCCGAUACCCGGAUACCUGGCCACAGUGAUGGACUCGUAGCUGAUUUAAUUGGACGGCAGUGCCUCGCUUUACACAUCUGUUUUUGAAGCUGAUUGAAUGGUCCUGCCUUGAUUUGAACAACUUGCUAAAUUUUGCUGGAAGUAGAACACGCAUACAGAACAGAAAUCAUCACCGUAUGGUCAACCAAGUGGCCACACUCGAGUCACCAGGACUGGAAUCCACGGCACAGAGGUUUGCGACUCCCUCCUUCUCAGGAGCCUUCUCAGUCCUACUUUUUUUGUUGUUGUUGCUUUUUAGGGCUGCUCCCUUGGCAUAUGGACGUUCCCAGCCUAGGGGUCAAAUCAGAACUACAGCUUCUGGCCUACACCACAGCCACAGCAACACAGGAUCUGAGCCUCCUCUGCGACCUACACAGCAGCUCACAGCAAUGCCAGAUCCUUAACCCACUGAGAAAGGCCAAGGAUCGAACAGGCCUCCUCAUGGAUACUGGUCAGGUUCAUUACUGCUGAGCCACAAUGGGAACUCCUCAGUCCCACUUCUGAUCCCCCCAUCCUCGACCCCAGAGGUAACCUCUAUCAUGGCUUCUGACCUCAUGGAUUACAUUUACGUCUUUUAAGACAUGGAAUCACGUGGUCGUUACUGCUUUCUGCCCAGUUUCUUUUUCAGAAUGUUAUGUGCGAUUAGAUUAUGUGCGAUGACAUCAGCAAUCGGCUGCCUACAGCCUGAGGGCCAAAUCUGACUCGUCAUCUGUUUUUAUAUGGUUUGUGAGCUAAGAAUGGAUUUCACAUUUUCAAAAAAAUGGUUGGGAAAAAAAUCAAAAGAAGGAUAUUUUGUGACAUGAGAAAAGCGUAUGAAAUAUGCAACAUGCAUCAAUAAUGCUUUAUUGGAACUUAGCCACAUCCAUUUGGCUGCCUGCUUUAGCCCCUCUAAUUGCAGAAUUGAGUAGACUCGACAAAGACCACGUGGCCCAAAAAGACCAAAAGAUUUGCUCUCUGGCUCUUUAUAAAAAAAAAAAAAAAAAAAAAUUGCUGACUCUGUAUCUAUAUUGUUUCGUGUACCUGUAAUUGUCCGUUUCCAUGAUUCUGUAGUAUUUCAUUGUGAACGGAGUACACCACGAUUCAUAUGACCAUUCUGUUUAUUGUCAAGUUCCCAGUUUUUGGCCUUUAUGUGGAGUGCUGCUGUGAACAUUUCUUGUGCAAGUCUUUUAGUAAACAAGUGUUUGGUAAACAUUUCUGUUGGCUAUAGAUGUAGGAGAGAAAUAGCUUUGAUUACUCUUCUUUUUAAUGGGUUGAUUUGAUGAGUGUAAAUUUUAUUUUAUUUUAUUUUAUUUUAUUUUUUUUAUUAUUUUGUCUGCAUACGUGACAUGUGGAAGUUCCUGGGCCAGGGAUCAAACCCGUGCAACAGCAGCGACCCACACCACUGCAGUGACAACCCUGGAUUCUUAACCCUCUGUGCCAGAAGAGAACUCUAACAAGUGUUUUUAAUUUUUAAGUCUUACUUUUCCUACUAGGAAGUAAAGCUUGGUGAUAGCAUCAUGUGUUGAAACUCUGGAACAAGGCUUACUUUCAAAAAAGUAAUUAGUCUUGCAAAAUAGAGCAUCUGUAGAAUCACAAUUCAUUAAUGGAUUACUGUUCUUCCAUCUCAAGGAUGUGGGAAGCAUGCCUGACGUUCACUGCUUUGGGGAAGGGUGCCAUCAUUUAAUUUCUUAUACUGAAGCCAUAUUGUCCAAAGGCCUCUUAUCUUUAUGCGACAAAACAGGUCUGGCAGAAUUAGGAGUUUUUCCAAUGUCGCUUUCUGCUUUGAUUGACUUCUGUUUAUCUCUAGCUGUUCUGGUUUUCUUGCUGGGAAGCAGAUGACUACAACUCUACAUCCCAAUAAGAUCUCUAGCCUAGAGUAGCAUAUGUCAUUUUGCAUUGAAACAGUGUGCUGAAAUGUUCCUUCUGGGACUGCAGACGUUGUACGUGGCCACAGCAGUGGAGCUCAGAGAUUCUCCCUAAGGAUCUGCCUUCGUGUGCACUGUCAGUAUUGUUUAGCAGCUCCGGUCCUGCAUCGGUUCCUGCAACGCUGGUCCUUUUCUAUUUCCUGUCCCACUUUUGCAGGCAAAGGCACUGACAGGGUUGGGAGAAGAACGUCAGGAUUCCCUAAGAUCCACCUGUCUUUCAGGUUUGCUUGGCACUGGCUGACAAAUGGCUUAAUAUUCUUUCUGGGGCUUCUCAAAGAACUUUUUCUAGCCAGCCCACCCCACUUUACUGGGGGUAAAGUCCUGUUUGUUUUGAACUUCCCUUCUGGUUGUGCCUUGUGCAAUUAUCAGGCUUAAGGAUUGUCACAAGGGAAGACUUCAGCAGUUGCUUUAGCAGUUCUUUUGGAAGACAGUUGGAUUCAAUGGAGUUCCUGUCGAGAUGCAGUGGUUAACGAAUCCGACUAGGAACCAUGAGGUUGCGGGUUCGGUCCCUGCCCUUGCUCAGUGGGUUAAGGAUUCGGCAUUGCCGUGAGCUGUGGUGUAGGUUACAGACGCGACUCGGAUCCCGUGUUGCUGUGGCUCUGGCGUAGGCCGGAGGCUACAGCUCCGAUUUGACCCCUAGCCUGGGAACCUCCAUGUGCCGUGGGAGUGGCCCAAGAGAUAGCAGAAAGACAAAAAUAAAUAAAU
rnacentral:lncRNA from 1 species